rnacentral:lncRNA from 1 species
CUAGGAUGGCCAGGAGCUAGAAACAGAACUAGGUUGGCUAGUUGGCCAGGAGCUACAAACAGAACUAGGUUGGCUAGGAGCUAGAAAAAGAGCUAUGUUGGCUAGGAGCUAGAAACAACUCUGUUAGCCAGGGGCAAGAACCAGAACUAUGUUGGCCAGGAGAAAGAAACAGAACUAUGUUGGCCAGGAGCUAGAAACAGAACUAGGUUGGCCAGGAGCUAGAAAAAGAACUAGGUUGGCCAGGAGCUAGAAACAGAACUAGGUUGGCUAGUUGGCCAGGAGCUAGAAACAGAACUCUGUUGGCUAGGAGCUAGAAACAGAACUAGG